AGAGUUUGAUCCUGGCUCAGGAUGAACGCUAGCGGCAGGCUUAACACAUGCAAGUCGAGGGGUAUAGUAGCAAUACUAGAGACCGGCGCACGGGUGCGUAACGCGUAUGCAAUCUACCUUUUGCAGAGGGAUAGCCCAGAGAAAUUUGGAUUAAUACCUCAUAGUAUAGUACAAUCGCAUGAUUGAACUAUUAAAGUCACAACGGCAAAAUAUGAGCAUGCGUCCCAUUAGUUAGUUGGUAAGGUAACGGCUUACCAAGACUACGAUGGGUAGGGGUCCUGAGAGGGAGAUCCCCCACACUGGUACUGAGACACGGACCAGACUCCUACGGGAGGCAGCAGUGAGGAAUAUUGGACAAUGGGCGCAAGCCUGAUCCAGCCAUGCCGCGUGCAGGAUGACGGUCCUAUGGAUUGUAAACUGCUUUUGCACAGGAAGAAACAACUCUACGUGUAGAGUCUUGACGGUACUGUGAGAAUAAGGAUCGGCUAACUCCGUGCCAGCAGCCGCGGUAAUACGGAGGAUCCAAGCGUUAUCCGGAAUCAUUGGGUUUAAAGGGUCCGUAGGCGGUCUUAUAAGUCAGUGGUGAAAUCUCCCCGCUCAACGGGGAAACGGCCAUUGAUACUGUAAGACUUGAAUUAUUAGGAAGUAACUAGAAUAUGUAGUGUAGCGGUGAAAUGCUUAGAGAUUACAUGGAAUACCAAUUGCGAAGGCAGGUUACUACUAAUGGAUUGACGCUGAUGGACGAAAGCGUGGGUAGCGAACAGGAUUAGAUACCCUGGUAGUCCACGCCGUAAACGAUGGAUACUAGCUGUUGGGAGCAAUCUCAGUGGCUAAGCGAAAGUGAUAAGUAUCCCACCUGGGGAGUACGUUCGCAAGAAUGAAACUCAAAGGAAUUGACGGGGGCCCGCACAAGCGGUGGAGCAU
rnacentral:rRNA from 1 species